CCUCCUAAGUUGUACUCAAGAACCAGCAACAGUGGAGCUCUUUUCAUGGCUCAUACUCAGCCCAGGUCCGUAGUCUUCACCUCAAAUGUCUACCUUGUCAAUAGGAGCAGAGUUUACCAUUCAACCAGGACAAGACCAAGAGAGGAAGUGCUUCAACUGUCUGCCUGGGCACCAGGCACACUGUGGAGCUGGAAGCCACUGCAGAAACCUGGUCAUUUGGUAGCAGCCCAAAAAACAGCUGUUCACCGUAGCUGGCAGGAUUCGAACCUGCGCGGGGAAACCCCAAUGGAUUUCUAGUCCAUCGCCUUCACCACUCGGCCACAACUACCUGAUGCAGCCCUCUCUGCCCCGCUGAUCACAGUGCCUGUGCAAUGACACCCGGCUGCCAGGGAGUUUCAGGACAAUGCUCCACUUCAAGAUUUGUAGCUGGGACUGUCACUGCACAUGCAAUGAAUCAAAGACCUCUCUGUGAUAUCUCAAGGCACCCCAGAGACGCUGACUGACCCUGUUCAGGAGCCCGCACUGCAGGGACAUCCUGGAACUGAAUGCACCACUGUCCCUGGCAGCUAAGAGCUGAAACAGCUUCUUGUCUCUUGCAGCCUAUGGCCUAUGGACCAAGGGGAAAAAAGGAGCCUCUCAGAACUGGACUCUCUGUCUGAAGGGGACAAAGCUACUCAAACCUUUUCUAGUUCAACCGUUGCUUAAAGCAAAACAAGCUACAGUCCUUCCUCUGCUGACAUUCAUAAAACAAUCUGCACGGGCUCUGGAACACAGCAUAAAAGCCUGCUCUACUCCAGGCUCUGCAUCUUCCUCUCUUGGUUCCCUUUCCUCUAAGAACAAGCUUUGCCUCGCUCACCAAGAGAUGUCUUGCUUCAGACCAUGUCCCCCACGCCCCUGCGGCACCUCUGGCCCAACGCCACUUGCAAGCAGCUGCAGUGAGCCCUGUUUCGCCCGCUGUGCUGACUCAACGGUGUUCAUUGAGGCCUCCCCGGUGGUGGUGACCCUGCCGGGCCCCAUCCUCACCUCUUUCCCGCAGAGCACAGCCGUGGGAUCCUCUCUGUCAGCUGCUGUUGGGAGCUCUCUCAGCACUGGCGGGGUUCCCAUCUCUUCUGGGGGCUCCCUUGGUCUGGGGGGGUCAGGCCUGUGUCUGCCUCCUCCCCGCUGCACUUUGAACUGCUGAAGCCGGCGGAUCAUCCCAUUGGGAGCCAGAAGUAAGACAUGCUCCCUGGCUGCAGGAGCAGCA